rfam:Schistosoma mattheei strain Denwood, Zambia genome assembly, scaffold: SMTD_scaffold0003514
AUCCAGCUGAAGAGUCCCAAAUAGGACGAAACGCGUGUCCUGGAU